rnacentral:rRNA from 1 species
AUUGAACGCUGGCGGCAUGCCUUACACAUGCAAGUCGAACGGUAACGCGGGGCAACCUGGCGACGAGUGGCGAACGGGUGAGUAACGCAUCGGAACGUGCCCAGUAGUGGGGGAUAGCCCGGCGAAAGCCGGAUUAAUACCGCAUACGACCUACGGGUGAAAGGGGGGGAUCGCAAGACCUCUCGCUAUUGGAGCGGCCGAUGUCAGAUUAGGUAGUUGGUGGGGUAAAGGCCCACCAAGCCUUCGAUCUGUAGCUGGUCUGAGAGGACGACCAGCCACACUGGGACUGAGACACGGCCCAGACUCCUACGGGAGGCAGCAGUGGGGAAUUUUGGACAAUGGGCGCAAGCCUGAUCCAGCCAUGCCGCGUGCGGGAAGAAGGCCUUCGGGUUGUAAACCGCUUUUGUCGGGGAAGAAACGCUCUGGGCUAAUACCCCGGGGUAAUGACGGUACCUGAAGAAUAAGCACCGGCUAACUACGUGCCAGCCGCCGCAGUAAGAC